rnacentral:rRNA from 1 species
AGAUUGAACGCUGGCGGCAUGCCUAACACAUGCAAGUCGAACGGGAGUAGCAAUACUCUAGUGGCGGACGGGUGAGGAAUGCGUAGGAAUUUGCCCUUAAGUGGGGGAUAACCCGGGAAACCCGGAUUAAUACCGCAUGACCUCGAAAGAGCAAAGUGGGGGAUCGCAAGACCUCACGCUUUUGGAGAAGCCUACGUCGGAUUAGCUAGUUGGUGAGGUAAUGGCUCACCAAGGCGACGAUCCGUAACUGGUCUGAGAGGAUGAUCAGUCACACCGGAACUGAGACACGGUCCGGACUCCUACGGGAGCAGCAGGUGGGAAUAUUGGACAAGUGGG